CUGUCCCUCUGCCACCAUGAGGAGCAUCUUCAAGAGGAACCAGGAGCCCAUGGUGGCCCCCGCCACCACCGCCAUGCCCGCCGGCCCGGUGGACAACUCCACAGAGAGCGGGGGUGCAGGCGAGGGCAAGGAGGACGUGUUUGCCAUGCUCAAGGAGAGGUUCUUCAACGAGAUAGUCAAGCUGCCUCUGCCCCCCUGGGCGCUGAUCGCCAUUGCCGUGGUCACGGGCCUUCUGCUGCUCACCUGCUGCUUCUGCGUCUGCAAGAAGUGCUGCUGCAAGAAGAGGAAGAACAAGAAGGAGAAGAGCAAGGGCGCCAAGAGCGCCAUGAGCAUGAAGGACAUGCGGGGCGGCCAGGAUGACGACGACGCGGAGACGGGUCUGACAGAGGGCGAGGGCGAGGGUGAGGAGGAGAAGGAGCCGGAGAACCUGGGCAAGCUGCAGUUCUCCCUGGACUACGACUUCCAGGCCAACCAGCUCACCGUGGGUGUCCUGCAGGCUGCAGAACUGCCCGCCCUGGACAUGGGCGGCACCUCGGACCCUUAUGUCAAGGUCUUCCUCCUUCCAGACAAGAAGAAGAAAUAUGAGACCAAAGUCCAUCGGAAGACGCUGAACCCUGCCUUCAACGAGACCUUCACCUUCAAGGUGCCAUACCAGGAGCUGGGGGGCAAGACCCUGGUGAUGGCCAUCUACGACUUUGACCGCUUCUCCAAGCACGACAUCAUCGGCGAGGUGAAGGUGCCCAUGAACACAGUGGACCUGGGGCAGCCCAUCGAGGAAUGGCGGGACCUGCAGGGCGGGGAGAAGGAGGAGCCGGAGAAGCUGGGGGACAUCUGCGCCUCGCUGCGCUACGUGCCCACCGCCGGGAAGCUCACCGUCUGCAUCCUGGAGGCGAAGAACCUGAAGAAGAUGGACGUGGGCGGCCUCUCGGACCCCUACGUGAAGAUCCACCUGAUGCAGAACGGCAAGCGGCUCAAGAAGAAGAAGACGACGGUGAAGAAGAAGACGCUGAACCCCUACUUCAACGAGUCUUUCAGCUUCGAGAUCCCCUUUGAGCAGAUUCAGAAGGUGCAGGUGGUGGUCACCGUGCUGGACUACGACAAGCUGGGCAAGAACGAGGCCAUCGGGAAGAUCUUCGUGGGCAGCAACGCCACGGGCACGGAGCUGCGGCACUGGUCCGACAUGCUGGCCAACCCCCGCCGGCCCAUCGCGCAGUGGCACUCGCUCAAGCCCGAGGAGGAGGUGGACGCGCUGCUGGGCAAGAGCAAGUAG
rnacentral:lncRNA from 1 species